rnacentral:rRNA from 1 species
UACGUAGGGCGCAAGCGUUGUCCGGAAUUAUUGGGCGUAAAGAGCUCGUAGGCGGUUUGUCGCGUCUGCUGUGAAAUUUCGGGGCUCAACCCCGAACUUGCAGUGGGUACGGGCAGACUAGAGUGUGGGUAGGGGAGACUGGAAUUCCUGGUGUAGCGGUGAAAUGCGCAGAUAUCAGGAGGAACACCGAGUGGCGAAGGCAGGUCUCUGGGCCACUA